UUCUUUGCGCAGUGGCAGUAUCGUAGCCAAUGAGGUUUAUCCGAGGCGCGAUUAUUGCUAAUUGGAAUGCAUUGCCAGUUAUCAGCUCUUGCUGGGUCACCUUUCAUAAGUAUAUGUGCUGUUCUUUUGAAU
rnacentral:snRNA from 1 species